ACUAACUCCUCACAUCAAAACCCCUCCGCCUCUUCCACUUGUUCUCUAACCAAAAACCAGCUCUUUCACAGAUCUACAAGUCUCUCCAGAGCCCAAAAAAUUCCCAAGUCAAAGUUAGUGAUUGCCACCGUAAACUAACAAAGCAAAAAGAAUAAACGGUGUCACUAAGCUCACGAAUAGCAGUUUCCCGGCGAAUGGAAGCAGCUGUGGAAGGGCGGGAGCGAAACCGAGAAAGAGAAAGAGGUCCGAACAGGACUUGAGCCGGAGGCACCGGACGUCGGAGACAGAGAAGAGGAAAAUCAAGCGAGGGAGGGAGAAACGGAGGAGCGUUCGUUGUCAAAUAAAAAGCGCAGAGUCAAAGAUGGAAAACAAAAAGAAAAUUUAGAAAAAGUAGAGAGAGAGAGAGA
rnacentral:misc_RNA from 1 species